GCCGAAGUGGCGGAAUGGCAAACGCGGCGGAUUCAAAAUCCGUUGGUGGAAACACCUUGUGGGUUCGACUCCCACCUUCGGUACCA
rnacentral:tRNA from 1 species